GCCUAUGGCCAUACCACGCCCAAUCUUGUCUGAUCUCGGAAGCUAAGCAGGGUCGGGCCUGGUUAGUACUUGGAUGGGAGACUGCCUGUGAAUACUGGGUCCUUGUAGGCC
rnacentral:rRNA from 1 species